rnacentral:lncRNA from 1 species
UUGGAAAAUCAAAACCCACUAUUCAAUUUCGGCUUGCUUUUUCUUUUUCUUCUUUCUAAUGUUGAUGUUGAUGAACGCUCUUCCACCGAUAUAGCAUACUAUAAAUAUGUUUGGUUGUGUGUAUUAUGUAUGUAUUGUGGAUAAAGAAAGUGAGAGACACACAGAGAGCAGAAACUGGGAAGAGAGGGUGAAGAUGAAACAAAAAGAGAGAGAGAGAGAGAUGAGCGGAAAAACUAGAAAAUCAUGCCAUUGUGUUUGUGUUUAUUGAGAUGAGAGCAUUUGGGUGAAUAAAAUAAUAAAAUAUUGGAUAGUGGUCUUUAUGGAUCAAAGUUGUAUUACUUCAUUUCGUUUUAUAAAAUUUUAUUUUUCAUGUUUAAAUUCAAUAGUGAUGAUGUAGAGUAGUCGGAUGGAAAUAUUUUGGAUAUUCAUAUAUAUAUCGGUAAUAUCUUUUUUCAAGUAUUUUAUUUUUAUUUUUC